AUUGAACGCUGGCGGCAGGCCUAACACAUGCAAGUCGAGCGGAGCGGCGGACGGGUGAGUAAUGCCUAGGAAUCUGCCUGGUAGUGGGGGAUAACGUCCGGAAACGGGCGCUAAUCCCGCAUACUAUCAGAUGAGCCUAGGUCGGAUUAGAUAGUUGGUGGGGUAAAGGCCUACCAAGGCGACGAUCCGUAACUGGUCUGCGAGGAUGAUCAGUCACACUGGAACGGAGACACGGCCCAGACGCCUACGGGAGGCAGCAGUGGGGAAUAUUGCACAAUGGGCGCAAGCCUGAUGCAGCCAUGCCGCGUGGAUGAAGAAGGCCUUAGGGUUGUAAAGUACUUUCAGCGGGGAGGCGUUACCCGCAGAAGAAGCACCGGCUAACUCCGUGCCAGCAGCCGCGGUAAUUC
rnacentral:rRNA from 1 species